rnacentral:rRNA from 1 species
UACGAAGGGUGGCAACGUUGCUCGGAAUCAUUGGCGUAAGCGCACGUAGGCGGCCCGAUUAAGUCGGAUGUGAAAUCCCUCGGCUACAACCCGGAGGACGUGCAUUCGAAACUGUCGGGCUCGAGUAAUGGAAGAGGGUCGCGGAAGUUCCCGGUGUAGAGGUGAAAUUCGUAGAUAUCGGGAGGAACACCGGUGGCGAAGGCGGCGACCUGGGUGAGAUACUGACGCUGAGGUGCGAAAGCGUGGGGAGCAAACAGGG